CUGGCACAGUUUGGCAACCAUCUUCAUUUGGUAAACUUAGCAUCAGCCAUUUGUUCUUCUCUGACAAAUAGCCCUCUCGUUUUGAUGGGUGGUCGUGAUUCCUGAAAGCAAUGUUCAUAUGCAUCUUGGAUAGACACUCGAGCAGACAUAUUUGUUCUCUUUAUAUGUGUAUAAAUUCGAUGGGCGAUCUAGUAUUUGAGACAUGGACCACUACCAGUUAGUUUAGCAGUCAUCAAAAGAUAAG
rnacentral:lncRNA from 1 species